rnacentral:rRNA from 1 species
UGGGGAAUUUUCCGCAAUGGGCGCAAGCCUGACGGAGCAAUACCGCGUGAGGGAGGAAGGCUUUUGGGUUGUAAACCUCUUUUCUCAAGGAAGAAGCACUGACGGUACUUGAGGAAUCAGCCCCGGCUAACUCCGUGCCAGCAGCCGCGGUAAUACGGAGGGGGCAAGCGUUGUUCGGAAUUACUGGGCGUAAAGGGCGCGUAGGCGGCACAUCAAGUCAGAGGUGAAAGCCCCGGGCUCAACCUGGGAAUUGCCUUUGAAACUGAUGAGCUAGAGUCCGGAAGAGGAUAGCGGAAUUCCCAGUGUAGAGGUGAAAUUCGUAGAUAUUGGGAAGAACACCAGUGGCGAAGGCGGCUAUCUGGUCCGGUACUGACACUGAGGCGCGAAAGCGUGGGGAGCAAACAGGAUUAGAUACCCCCGUAGUCC